AAGAAGCAGUACAUUUUGAAUGUAUGGGAAUAUAAUUUCUAGCUGGAUGCUCCCAAGAUCUCCGUCUUCCUCUAUCUACCAGCUAUACAUCUAACUCAAGGGAAACUUGUCCAUUUGGCUUAUCAAAUGAAGUCGAAUCACAGGAGAAGUUGCUAAACUUUCCACAGAAAGCUGAAGAAACUUGGAAGAAUCUUGAAGAGUUAAGCAAGAAAAAUCCUACUUACAGAUAGAAAAAAAGAACAUCUGCAAAAUACAUCAGCAACAUCAUUAUGUGGGGAAACACGGCAGAAGUGUUUCAGAAAGGAGAGAAAAUGGUCCAGAUUCUCCUGAAACCUGGUCUCACCAUCAAGAAGAACAAAGUUAAGAGACCUGCUCAAGAGAUCCAGUUUUUGAGAGUAGAGUGUGAGUAAAGUGUGAGUUAACUGUGUGUGACCCAAAAGUUUUCCUCAGCAGAGAAUAAAUUAAUGACAGUCAAUGGAAUUGAAACAAUAUAAUAAGAAAAUAAAGUAUAUAUCAAGACAAAAAUAAGUUAAUAAAUGGUUUAAAAUGCCUGUAUUUAUUGCCUUAGUAUAUGUGCAAUACUUACAAUAAGAAAGACUGCAAAUAUUGUUGUGAAUGACUUAAUGUUCACUUCUUCUGUCCACCUUUUAAACUGGCUAAAUAAGCUUCAUAUUAUUAGAUAUAAAC